rnacentral:tRNA from 1 species
GGAGGGUACAGCUCAGUGGUAGAGCGCAUGCUUAGCAUACAUGAGGUCCUGGGUUCAAUCCCCAGGACCUCCU